UAUAUAGACAGUGUCAGCAAUAUAAAUAUUCAGUGUUGUUUUAACAGCGGUAUACAUUUAGACAGCACUUUCAUUUUAUCUCCAGUAUUUAUGCACAAACACAUUAAAAGUAGACAACUAUGUUAUAUAUCACUCAUAUUCUCCAUUUAAUUUUAUUUUAAUCUGUCUUCUGUGCUUUCCAUCUCAGAGUCAAUAACUCUUUCCUCCCGCCUCACAUGCCCUGUCAACUUUCUUGUAUCUGAGUAAUUUUAAAUGAAAUCCUAUUUAUCACUGCGUGCUUGGUUUCUUGUACCCCUGUUGACACCAAGAUUAUUAGACUUUAUUUCGUAUGUAUAAAAUAAGAAAAAAAAUCCUUGUACCACUACCCAUUAAAAUCAGCAUCAUACCUCUAUUAUCUUUUGUUCUUUAAGAAGUAUCUAACAAAAACUCCUAAAACUGUUGGUCCUGUUCUUUCCUGCUACCGCUGAUAGACCUUAGAUUUUAGACUUAUUUUUAUAUUACGUGAAUAUGGGCAGGAUAAAGUCUAUGAAAAGAAUCAAGGUUGUAUCUGGGGAUGAUAGCAAGCCAUCAUCAUGGGCCCCCAGAGUUGCUGGUACUGGUGAUGAUCCAGGGCAUAGAAUCCCUGGUUGCAUCGAUGCAAUUUUAAAAUUACAGUUAGGGCUAACACAUGACAAAUCCAGGCAAACAAUGAGUUUUUUUAUAAACACGGUGUUGAGUAACCUCUUCAAUAACAUAUUUUCCUUAAAUUGUUUCUGUUUUCUCUCCUUUGGAUCACAUACAUAUUUUAAGCUACCAAACUUCAUCGGCAAUGAAUCAAGUAGGAUUUCAUGUUCCUCUAAUAACCAGGAACGUUUAGGACCACUGUCUUCCUUGCGUGUUCGGAAUCCUCAGCGUCACGAGUACCUGAGUCCCUAAGGUUUGGUCAAUGAAGACACAACACCAGAGGAAAGCUAGUGCCUGAGUUGUUAGACGCCCUUCUGUGGUUUUUUGUUUUGUUAUUACAUGGUUCGUGGAGCAGAGAAAAGAGAAGUCUGAAAAUAAAAGAAUCUUAGAAGACCUUGUUUCAAGGAAGAAAUGCCAAGCCACAGUGGUGGAAAAAAAAUAAUAAUAAUUAAGGCAAGAACAAUGACUCUACGAAGAAAAAAAGCAAAAUCUGUCAAAAUAGCUCUACAGCAAGUCCAAGAGGAGCCCAGCUCUCUUUCUGGAUGUUGCCUCUGAUGAGAAACAAGGGAGAAAAGCUUUACCAGUACUCACUGGAGAUUUUCAUUUAUUUUAACAGCAGCACUUCCAAGAUCAGUGAUUUGUAAAAUGUGCCCAGAGCUGAGCCCUUAGGAGCACUUCCAAAGAACAACCUAUCUGUUCCCCUUUGCCAACUCUGUAUUUAUUAUUGAAUAUACACAAUACAUUCAUGCCUCUGGCCUCUGGACAGAUUUUUGGGCUUUUUUUGGUUUGUUUCUUUUUCCAUUACAAAGGAUCCCCGUUAUCCUGUCUUAGCAUCGGAAAGCAUG